GACGAACGCUGGCGGCGUGCUUAACACAUGCCAGUCGAACGGAAAGGCCUGCUUUCCCUUGUGGAUUGCGGGUACUCGAGUGGCGAACGGGUGAGUAACACGUGAGUGAUCUGCCCCCAACUUGGGUAUAAGCCUGGGAAACUGGGUCUAAUUCCCGAUAGGACUGCAGGGUGGUGCCUGUGGUGGCAAACGAUUUUCUAGUGGUUGGGGAUGAGCUCGCGGCCUAUCAGCUUGUUGGUGGGGUAAUGGCCUACCAAGGCGGCGACGGGUAGCCGGCCUGGGAGCGUGGACGGCCACAUUGGGACUGGGAACCGGCCCAGACUCGUGCGGGAGGCAGCAGUGGGGAAGAAUGGACAAUGGGCGGAAGCCUGAUGCAGCGACGCCGCGUGGGGGAUGACGGCCUUCGGGUUGUAAACUCCUUUCGACCGCGAGGAAGCCACCUGGUUGGAAGGGUGGUGACGGUAGUGGUAGAAGAAGCACCGGCUAACUACGUG
rnacentral:rRNA from 1 species